GGGGCGGCAUGGCUUAGGUCUUCAGUAGAUGGUGUUUGGACCAUGAGACUCUCUACUGUACUCCUGUGCACACCUCAUUUAUUGCUUCCAUUCAUGUUUCUCGUUGCUUGAUCAAGUUAGUUGCCAGAUUUUUUUCUUGCUUGAAUUAUUCUUACAUUUUAUAAUGUAAUCUUCAUUUUAAAAUCUCCCUCCUGUUUAUAAGCACACCAGGCUCUGUCAUGGUUAUCUUUCAGUGUGUAUUCAUUUCACUUGACAUAUUGUUUUUUUUUGGGAGAUAACUUUUGUGUAAUCCCCACAGAUUUGUCCUAAAUAAGCCACAUCUCCUCUUUCUCUCUUACUUAAAUCUCAUACGGUUUACACCCCCCCCCCCUCCUCACACCUUUAUUAAAUCUUGUAGUGCAUUCCCAACAAAUGACAAAAUUCCAUUCUAACAAAUGUACAGAACACACCCAGCAGUCAUGUGAUGAUUCUUAAACAAAAUUUCAAUGCAUGUAUUUAUGAUACUAUUGAUCUCUAUGCAUUGGAUUAUAAUUGGUUAGUAAAUGAAAGCUUUGUUUGAACUAGUUUUUCUGAUGGCAUUCCUGCAUUGAGCCAGAGCCUAGACUGACUCAGUUCAAAAGUGUAUUCAAGUGGAUUUUCUCUAGUGUCUAAAUGUCUUGUGGGAUGAGAAAUUAGUUUGACAAGGUUUACAUUUGUGGGAUGAGAAUUUAGUUUGACGGGGUUUACAUUUGUGGGAUGAGAAUUUAGUUUGACAAGGUUUACAUUUGUGGGAUGAGAAUUUAGUUUGACAAGGUUUACAUUUGUGGGAUGAGAAUUUAGUUUGACAAGGUUUACAUUUGUGGGAUGAGAAUUUAGUAUGACAAGGUUUACAUUUGUAGGAUGAGAAUUUAGUAUGACAAGGUUUACAUUUGUGGGAUGAGAAUUUAGUAUGACAUGGUUUACAUUUGGUGUUCAGACCAUCAAAAUAGUGUGUACAUAGUUUAUUUAUAAUACAUGUACAUAAUAGUUAAUUUAUAGUACAUGUACAUAAUAGUUUAUUUAUAAUACAUGUAUUAAAGAUUUUUUUAAUUCCAAAAAACUUGCUGGCUAAGUAUGUGUAUUUGUGUAAAAUAAAAACUUACUGGCUAAAUCUGAUGUGUGUCUCAAACAUCUGUUUGGCUUGUUCUAAAAUGCCUACCCUCAUGUUGUGUUUUUGAUGUCAAUUUUUCUAGACACCAACUUCUACCCAAAGUACUCUUGGCCUCUGAUAUAGAACUAGAAUUGUAUCGAGCAUUUUAUUUUAGCCUGCACCUUCAACUGCGUUGCUUUAGAAGUAUUUAGUUCUGUUCAUCUCACUAAAUUUGCAUUAUUUGUAUUUCAAGCAAGGAAUGUGGUAUAUUCUAGACCUGUGUAGGGCCUAUAGCCCAAUUAUUGUACAAAUAAAUAUUGAUUGCAAAAAGACAGUUGUAUAUUAUUAUAUGUGUGUAUGUAUACAUGUAUAUGUAUACAUACACAUGUAUAUAUAUAUAUGUAUGUUAAUAGGAUUUGCCAUUUUAUUUCUUUUUGUGUGGCUGUUUAAAGGUGAUAGCUUUGCUUUUUUUUUAAAAGUGGGGCCAUGAUGGUAUGAUUAUAUUAAAAUACUUGAACUCUACAAACUUUUAAUAAUUACAUUUUUUAAUAAUUUAUGGAGAAUUCAUUAGCAAUAUUUUAUACAAAGUGGAUGUUUUUAGUUAAAAUGUAUGUGUAAAUCAUUAAUAGUCUAAUAAAGUAUUUAUUUUA